rnacentral:rRNA from 1 species
GUGGGGAAUAUUGGACAAUGGGCGAAAGCCUGAUCCAGCCAUGGCGCGUGUGUGAAGAAGGUCUUCGGAUUGUAAAGCACUUUAAGUUGGGAGGAAGGGCAUUAACCUAAUACGUUAGUGUUUUGACGUUACCGACAGAAUAAGCACCGGCUAACUUCGUGCCAGCAGCCGCGGUAAUACGAAGGGUGCAAGCGUUAAUCGGAAUUACUGGGCGUAAAGCGCGCGUAGGUGGUUCGUUAAGUUGGAUGUGAAAGCCCCGGGCUCAACCUGGGAACUGCAUCCAAAACUGGCGAGCUAGAGUACGGUAGAGGGUGGUGGAAUUUCCUGUGUAGCGGUGAAAUGCGUAGAUAUAGGAAGGAACACCAGUGGCGAAGGCGACCACCUGGACUGAUACUGACACUGAGGUGCGAAAGCGUGGGGAGCAAACAGGAUUAGAAACCCCAGUAGUCC